rnacentral:rRNA from 1 species
UUUUUUUAAUUGGAAAAAUUAGGCUUUUUUAAAAAAGGAGAUUUAAUUGGUUUGUAGUGUUAAGGAAACUUUUUUAUCUUAUAGAGCAUAGUACUGUAAAGGAACUUUGAAAUGAUUAAUAUUAUAAAAAGCAUAGUUAGUACCUUUGGCAUAAGGGUUUUUCAAAAAAUUUAAAAUAUUUUAAAUUCCCGAAGUUUAAUGAGCUAUUUUUUUAGGAUUUUGUAUGUUUUAAAUUAUAAAUAAAUUAAAAAAUAGAAAUGAAAUUUUAUUCAAAUUAAAUAAUAUCUGGUUUUAAAAUAUAAUUAUAUAUUAGUAUUUGAAGUUUUAAUUUUUGUUUUGCUUUAAAUAUAAAAUUUAUGGGAUAAGCUAUAAGUUUAUUUAUAGAUUUAUGAGUAGUAAAAAAAAAGAGGUUUGAAAUUUACUUUUAUUUGUUAUAAAGUAUUUAUUUUUUUUUAGGUCUUAAAGGAAAAAAUAUUUUAAUUAAUUGUUGUUAAAAGAAUUUAUGAAAAAAUUAGUAUAAAUAUCUAUAUUGUUUUGUAAUUAAAAAUAUUUUUAAGAGUGUUUUUAACUUUAAGAACUCGGCAAAUUAAUUUUUGACUGUUUAUCAAAAACAUUGUAUUUUGGUUUUUAUAAAAUAUAUUACCUGCUCAGUGAAUUUUAAAUUGCUGUGGUAUUCUGACUAUACGAAGGUAUUGAAAUAAGAUCUUAAAUGGGUGCUAAGAGAAUGGUAGAACAAAGAUUUUCUUUCUUAAGUUAAUUAAUAGAAGUUGGUUUUUAAGUGAAAAAACUUGAAUUUUAUUUUGGGACAAGAAGACCCUAUGAAUUUUUAUUGAUUAAUUUAUUAUUUAAGUUAAUAAUAGAGAAUCAAUUUGGUUGGGGCGAUUUUUAAAGAUUAAUUAUCUUUAAAUAUUGAAAAUGAUCCAUUAUUAAUGAUUGUUUAAAAAAAAUACUCUAGGGAUAACAGCGUAAUAAUUUUGGAUAGUUCUUAUUGAUAAAAUUGUUUGCGACCUCGAUGUUGGAUUAAGAUGCUUUUAUGAUGAAGAGGUCAUAAUAAGAAGUUUGCUCAACUUUUAAAAUCUUACAUGAUCUGAGUUCAGACCGGCGUGAGCCAGGUUGGUUUCUAUCUAAAAACUUGAAAUUUUUAUUUUAGUACGAAAGGAAUUUUUAAUUGGGUUUAACCUAAAUAGUAUGAAGUUUAAAAUUA